rnacentral:rRNA from 1 species
GAUGAACGCUGGCGGCGUGCCUAAUACAUGCAAGUCGAGCGAACAGACGAGGAGCUUGCUCCUCUGACGUUAGCGGCGGACGGGUGAGUAACACGUGGAUAACCUACCUAUAAAACUGGGAUAACUUCGGGAAACCGGAGCUAAUACCGGAUAAUAUAUUGAACCGCAUGGUUCAAUAGUGAAAGACGGUUUUGCUGUCACUUAUAGAUGGAUCCGCGCCGCAUUAGCUAGUUGGUAAGGUAACGGCUUACCAAGGCAACGAUGCGUAGCCGACCUGAGAGGGUGAUCGGCCACACUGGAACUGAGACACGGUCCAGACUCCUACGGGAGGCAGCAGUAGGGAAUCUUCCGCAAUGGGCGAAAGCCUGACGGAGCAACGCCGCGUGAAUGAUGAAGGUCUUCGGAUCGUAAAACUCUGUUAUUAGGGAAGAACAAAUGUGUAAGUAACUAUGCACGUCUUGACGGUACCUAAUCAGAAAGCCACGGCUAACUACGUG